CUACGGGGCGCUCCAGUGAGGAAUAUUGCACAAUGGGGGGAACCCUGAUGCAGCAACGCCGCGUGGAGGAUGACGCAUUUCGGUGUGUAAACUCCUUUUAUAUGUCAAGAAAAUGACGGUAGCAUAUGAAUAAGCACCGGCUAACUCCGUGCCAACAGCCGCGGUAAUACGGAGGGUGCAAGCGUUACUCGGAAUCACUGGGCGUAAAGGACACGUAGGCGGGUUGGAAAGUCAGGUGUGAAAUCCUACAGCUUAACUGUAGAACUGCACUUGAAACUUCUAAUCUAGAGUAUGGGAGGGGGAGAUGGAAUUAGUGGUGUAGGGGUAAAAUCCGUAGAUAUCACUAGGAAUACCUAAAGCGAAGGCGAUCUCCUGGAACAUUACUGACGCUAAGGCGUGAAAGCGUGGGGAGCAAACAGGAUUAGAUACCCCGGUAGUC
rnacentral:rRNA from 1 species